rnacentral:misc_RNA from 1 species
GUAGCACAAAACCAAACAGAGCCAAAAGCCCCACCUUUCAUUUCCUCUCUUCCAUUCCCAACUUACAACAAUGGCCUCCUUAUCCCUCCUUCCACCUCCCUCGACUACCACCACCACCACGUCCUUCUCCUCCUCCUUCUACCACAAUGCCUCCUACCUCCUCACCCUGCGCACCCGCUCCAUUAGUCUUCGCUCCCCCACCAGGACCUUCUCUAUCAGAGCCCAAUCCGCUCCUAUCCUCACCCAAGAUGACCUCAAGAAACUCGCUGCCGACAAAGCCGCCGAUUACGUCAAAUCCGGCAUGGUUCUCGGCCUCGGCACUGGCUCCACUGCUGCCUUUGUCGUUGCUAAGAUCGGAGAACUCCUAAAAUCUGGUCAAUUAACCGGUAUUGUUGGUAUACCCACUUCAAAACGCACCGAAGAGCAAGCCCGCUCGCUCGGGAUCCCACUUUCAGUUCUCGAUGAUCAUCCUCGUCUUGACCUCGCUAUAGACGGUGCAGACGAGGUCGACCCUGAUCUCAACCUAGUCAAAGGCCGGGGUGGGGCCCUCUUGAGAGAGAAAAUGGUGGAAGCAGCGUCUGAAAAGUUCGUGGUCGUCGCCGACGAGACGAAACUGGUAACCGUUCUUGGUGGGAGCAAGCUGGCAAUGCCGGUGGAGGUCGUGCAAUUUUGUUGGAAGUACAAUUUGGUGAGGUUGAAAGAAUUGUUCAAUGAAGAAGGGUGCGAAGCUAAGCUAAGAUUGAAUGAAGCUGGCAAGCCUUAUGUGACCGAUAACUCCAAUUACAUUGUGGAUUUGUAUUUCGAGAAUCCGAUUAAAGAUGCAUAUGCAGCUGGGAAGGAGAUUUCAGCUUGUGAAGGAGUGGUGGAACAUGGGUUGUUUUUGGAUAUGGCAACAGCGGUGAUUAUUGCUGGCAAGAGUGGAGUGGAGGUCAAGGCCAANNNNNNNNNGGUAGUGAGAACUGAAAUCUCUUAUGAUCUGCUGCUCUGCUAUUGUUGUUGUUAAUUACUUCUUUAUGGUGAUUUUGAGCUCUUUUAGUGUAACCUCUUAGAUGGGCAUUGUCUUAGUGCUUGUUAGAAAUUUUGUAUGCUAUAUGGUUUGUUGGGCAUCUUAUAAGGAUUUCGCUCAAUUAGCAUAGGGAAUGGAGAUAUGAAAUAAUG